ACUGGCAAUCCGUGGCUUCUGGCAAAUGCCAGAGGGGCUUCUUUAUGGCUCCAUAGAAAUUGACCAUAUAGUGAGCUGGUAGGGGGCUGUUUGUACGGAACGCAUUUUCCGUUACUUGUCUCUCCGCUCUCACAUCUCUGAUCCGCUUUGCAGCUAAUGACGAGGGAAGGUUCAGCGCAGUCGCCAUGGGGGUAGAAGGAUGCACCAAAUGUAUUAAAUAUCUGUUCUUUGUCUUCAACUUCAUCUUCUGGUACAUCAUCUGAAGGUUUUCUAGCAAGAAAAAAAAUGGCCGAUGAACUUAGCAAACCUGAGCAGUUGGAAAAAUGUUAUAUAUGUCAAAAAUACUUCCAAGAAUAUGUAGAAGAGUUAAAAAGCAAAGAAUUGGAAUUUUACAUUUGGGGUGUCCUACCUAUUUUCUGUGUAGUGUAUUGUUUUUUGGUGCUGCAGAGAAUUUGGUAUAAAAUGAAGAAGCCUAAAAGAGCCUUUGUUAAAAGAGUGUAGGAAGAAGAGAAGGCCUGGAUUUGUGGAGAGGCUGCUAGGACCCAGUCCAGGAAGUUCGGUUGUGAACAUUGGCAUCAUAUUCUACAGAGUGUCGACACUCAUGUUCUCUAAUUUUCUUGCCAUUUGGCGUCCUCUCCUAUUUUCAAGGGAAAAGCACCCUCUCAUUCACUCCAUUUCUCCUAGUGUUCAGUUGUAAACUAUAACUCCCUCACAAUAUGGUGCCACCUAUUAAUAUUAUUCCCUCCAGUGUUAUCGUUAAAUAAUAAAGAUGUGCCAACUUU